UCUGGGUCCAACCUCCCAUCCGUGUCUAUCUGUACCCUGUUGCUUCGGCGUGGCCACGGCCCGCCGAAGACUAACAUUUGAACACUGUCUGAAGUUUGCAGUCUGAGUUUUUAGUUAAACAAUAAUUAAAACUUUCAACAACGGAUCUCUUGGUUCCGGCAUCGAUGAAGAACGCAGCGAAAUGCGAUAAUUAAUGGGAAUUGCAGAAUUCAGUGAAUCAUCGAGUCUUUGAACGCACAUUGCGCCCCCUGGUAUUCCGGGGGGCAUGCCUGUCCGAGCGUCAUUGCUGCCCUCAAGCACGGCUUGUGUGUUGGGCUUCCGUCCCUGGUAACGGGGACGGGCCCAAAAGGCAGUGGCGGCACCAUGUCUGGUCCUCGAGCGUAUGGGGCUUUGUCACCCGCUCCCGUAGGUCCAGCUGGCAGCUAGCCUCGCAACCAAUCGGGGGGGACCAGGUUGACCUCGGAUCAGGUAGGGAUACCCGCUGAACUUAAGCAUAUCAAUAAG
rnacentral:rRNA from 1 species